AGACAGUGGCGAGGGUACCUGGUUGAUAGCGGACAGAGACAGAGAGGCUCAGAUCGUGAACCGGCGUGGGGGCGGUCCUCCGGGGGAAGCGGGUGCCGACCCGUUACUAUGUCGACAAGAACGUCACCUGUCACAGCUGUCAGAGGACUGGACACCUCUCCAAGAGCUGCCCUACGCCCCCGGAGCCGUGUUGCUUUUUGUGCGGG